rnacentral:lncRNA from 1 species
UCUGUUUCAGUAUUCAGGCCGACUUUCUCCGUACCAGACGGAUUCUUCUUUUGAGAUUGCUUCUUUGCCGAUUCUGACAGGCAUUGUUAAUUAUUUCCCAUCAGAGUGCAAAUUGUUCGUCUGUUCUUGGUAUUCAAUCACUCUUCACCCUGAUCAUCUGAAAGCCGAGGCUAUUCAUAUCGACAGGUUCACAGUGGAUUGAAUAGGGGCAGCUGUAACACCUCAAAAUUUG